GACGUAGGGGGCAAGCGUUGUUCGGAAUUAUUGGGCGUAAAGCGCUCGUAGGCGGGACAGGAAGUUCGUGUUGAAAGACCUCGGCUCAACUGAGGGACCGGCUCGAAUACUCUUGUUCUUGAGGCAAUCAGAGGGUGAUGGAAUUCCCGGUGUAGAGGUGAAAUUCGUAGAUAUCGGGAGGAACACCAGAGGCGAAGGCGGCCACCUGGACAGACACUGACGCUGAGACGCGAAAGCGUGGGGAGCAAACAGG
rnacentral:rRNA from 1 species